GACCGGGUAGCUUAAUGGUAAAGCACCCAACCGGCAAUUGGGGGAUCUGGGUUCAAAAACCGGUCCGGACU
rnacentral:tRNA from 1 species